rnacentral:rRNA from 1 species
GACGUAGGGCGCGAGCGUUGUCCGGAUUUAUUGGGCGUAAAGAGCUCGUAGGCGGCUUGUUGCGUCGACUGUGAAAACCCGCGGCUUAACUGUGGGCUUGCAGUUGAUACGGGCAGGCUAGAGUUCGGUAGGGGAGACUGGAAUUCCUGGUGUAGCGGUGAAAUGCGCAGAUAUCAGGAGGAACACCGGUGGCGAAGGCGGGUCUCUGGGCCGAUACUGACGCUGAGGAGCGAAAGCGUGGGGAGCGAACAGG